AAGAUGUGAUUCGUCACAACAUGAUGAAGAACAUGAAACGAAUCUUAAUAAAGGUAGGGUUCAAGAUGAAGAGGUUGUUAGUGAGAAAUUUGUGUUAAAGAUGAUUAUCAUUUCGAAAAUACCCAUUAAUCAAGGGUUGAGUUCUUAUGUAGAUCUGAGAUCUGGACUCUUAAAGGUAGAUCUUGGCUCUCAAAGGUUAGUUAUAACUUAUAAGUAUGUCUAACCUCUUGUAUUUUCUUUAUGUCAUGUAAUUUUUUUUAUUGUUUUUCUUUUAAUUUCACUCAAAGGUAGAAAGUAAGUUGUGUUAUGCUAGGUUAUUUUCAAUUCUCUUUGAUAAGUUCUGUUCUGUAAGUUUGUUUUAAUUUCUCUUUGAUAAGUUUUAUACAGGUAGGAGUUAUUGUUGUAUUGCAGCAACCUUGAUUUAUUCUUGUUAAUACACAGGUGUUAAAGGACAAUGUGAAGAAAUUAUUCCAGAUUUAA